rnacentral:misc_RNA from 1 species
CAAGAAUAUAGAGGGGGUAUAGCAAUAUAUCACCGGCACACGGGUGUUUUCCACGUGAGAAUCAAUCCUUGAGAUGGGGGAUAGCUGGUAGAAAUACCAGGUAAUACCGCAUAUGCCGUAAGGUGAAAGGGGCAAUUGCCCCGUCUUAGGAUGAGCUUGCGGUCCAUUAGCUAGUUGGUAGGGUAAUGGCCUACCAAGGCGACGAUGGAUAGCCGGCCUGAGAGGGUGUACGGCCACAUUGGGACUGAGACACGGCCCAGACUCCUACGGGAGGCAGCAGUGGG